rnacentral:lncRNA from 1 species
UCCUCAGUCAGGAGAAGGCUCCAAUAACUUUAUGGUUGGUGGAUCUACACCUGCCCAAGCAAGCCCAGUGACAUGCACUGCGGCUCAAGAUGCUUCGACCUGCACGCCACAAUGAUCACUCGAGGUAGUUGUCUAUGCUUGUGCAUUAUUCAUGCUUGUGUCUUGUCGUUGGUUGUGUCUCUCAAUUCCCAACUUGUGCAUUGCUGAUAGUAGAGCCCAAAGUGUUGAUCCUUGUAUUAUUCAUACUUCUUAGCUUUAAUUUGAAACUUAUAUGUUGAUGCUUGUUGACUCUUGUGCCUUAUCGAUCAUUUGCAAUUUAGCUUUGGAAACUCAUGCGUGUGGUAAUGAACUUACAGGUUUGCAUCACGAAUGCCGUCGACGGUGGGCAUACAUGAUGCGGUGGACACUCAUUGCAUAUUGUAGGUUGAACUCAUGCUUUCGUUUGUGAACUCUUGUUGCAUAUGUAAUGUUGUUGUGAACCCUCCUUGAAUAUGUAUGCAUGCUUUUGUGAAACUAUAUUGGAUAUGUAUGAGUGUGUGGACUUUGAACUCAUCAUCGGUUUGUUCUUGUUGUGAACUUGUAAUAUAUUGGAUAUGUAUGCAUGACCGUUUUGGUUGUGAAAUCUUGUUGCAUAUGUACGCAUGCUUUUGUGAAACUAUAUUGUUGUUGUGAUCUAUUGGAUAUGUAAUAUAUUGUUGUUGUUGUGAUAUAUGGAUAUAUAUUACAUAUAUAUAGUUAUG